GUUGCCUACGGGACGCAGCAGUGAGGAAUAUUGGUCAAUGGGCGGGAGCCUGAACCAGCCAAGCCGCGUGAGGGAAGAAGGUACAGCGUAUCGUAAACCUCUUUUGUCAGGGAACAAAGGCGGGGACUAGUCCCCGGAUGAGGGUACCUGAAGAAAAAGCAUCGGCUAACUCCGUGCCAGCAGCCGCGGUAAUACGGAGGAUGCGAGCGUUAUCCGGAUUUAUUGGGUUUAAAGGGUGCGUAGGCGGACUGUUAAGUCAGCGGUAAAAGACCGGGGCUCAA
rnacentral:rRNA from 1 species